AAAACGCACAGCAGCAGAGUGAGAGAGCCUAAAGAGGAGGAACUGAACUGAACUGAACGAUUCUACUGAAGAUUUCGCAGCAAAGAUUCCGGUACUGUCUUGUUUGUUUCUUUCUAAAUCAAAGCUUUGGUCUUGGGAGUUCCUUGUGAAAUUGACCAUAUAUGGAAGACAGCUUUAGUCGGUUGACUGAUGAUUUGCUCAUCAGAAUCUUGUCCUUUGUCCCAAUCAAAGAAGCGGUGGCUACGUGCAUUUUGUCAAAACGAUGGCGUCCUCUUUGGACAUUGUUGCCAAGGCUGAACUUUAAAGAGCGCCCUGUGCAUUAUAAGGGCAAUCACGAUCCGGGCCGCAUAGUGAAACACUCGAGACCUUGGAACUAAAAGGUAUGAACUUAUUGGAAGUUCCUUCUCGGGUUAGUUUUCAAUCCCUUAAAACGUUGCGCCUUAAAUUGGUCGCGUACCCAGACGAGGAAUCUUUCGUCAGGCUUAUAUCUAGUUCCCCUGUUCUUGGAGAUUUACUUCUGCAGAAUCCGGUUGGCGACAAUAUAGAGACUUUUACCAUUAAUGUGCCUUCCCUUCACCGUUUAACCAUUACUAGAGAUGAGAAAUCCUAUUUGCUGUUUGUGAUACAUUGUCAUUCUUUGAAAGAGUUGGAUAUUGAAAAUGACGACGGUGAAGUAAAUUUGAUUGGUGAUAUGCGCGAGCUUGUCAAGGCAAAUAUUUGGACUUGUGAUAGCAAUGUUUUCAAGUCUCUUACCUUUGUCAAAACACUUCGUCUGACCGUAGAAGACUAUAAGGCCCCGUAUCAUUUUGGUACCAUUUUCUCUCAGCUUGUGUGUUUGGAGUUCCGCGGACAAUGUUACAACUGGUGGGAUUUGCUUCUAAAUGUGCUCCAACAUUCCCCUAGACUACAGAUUCUCACGUUAGAAGAUUGUUAUCGUGAGCAAGUGUGGGGAGAUAGGGAAAUUUGGAUUCAGCCGAGUUGUGCUCCUGAAUGUUUGUACCAUCUCAAAACCUUCGAGUGGAUAGAGUAUGUCGGAAGUCCAAUACAAAAAGAGCUAAUUUGCAAGUCAAUAAAAGACACGAACAAAACCAAAUUAGUAUGACCACGAUCGUAUGAAGCUGAGUUAUGUCCUCAUCAUGUUCUAUCUAUACAUUCUCUAGAAAAGACUGCUGAGCUUCAUCCGAAGAUAACAUUCCGGGAGGAAGGUACGACCAAGCCAAGACUCCACUCCCGAUUGUGAUGGUUGCAGCAAUUGAUCCCCAAAUCCACCUCUGCCUCCUCUUUCUCUUUUCCCCUUCUCGCCUUGCUUCCUCUAAUAA